UUGAAUUGUAACUGUGAAUUAAAAUGGCUUCAUCAAAGGUCUUUCUUAUUACCAUUAUAUUUGCUGUUCUUUUUCUAGUCCCUAGCGAAAUUUCAGCUCGUCAGCUAGCAGAACCUUUCUCAACUAAAAAGACGCAUGCUGUGACGCGUGCUGGUAAUCCUGUUGUGUACUAUCCUAAUCCACCGGUUCAAACAGUUCCUGGGUAUCCAGCUGUUCCGUGUCAAGGGUGUAAUUAAUGCAACCUAAUGUUCUUGAUUUAGAGAUAUCCAAUUUCAUACGGAGUACAUUUUAUAUUUUUAAGGGUAAUGAUAUAGAUGCCCCUUAAGGCUACAUAUAACUAUAUAAGUCUUAAAUAGACUCCUAAAUUUAAACAAUAUUGUAGAGGAUAUUAAAUGUUUAUAUAUAUAUAUAUAUAUAGUCCUAAAGGCUAUGUAUAUCGUUUUCCUAUUUUUA